UAAUGCAUGUAUACAGUAAUUGCUCAAUAA
rnacentral:piRNA from 1 species